rnacentral:rRNA from 1 species
CUUUACUGGUCUGCCAUGUUUGGGUGGAAUCUGUGUGGCAUUAAGUUGUCGUGCAGGGGAUGCCCAUCGUUUACUGUGAAAAAAUUAGAGUGUUCAAAGCAGGCUUAUGCCUCUGAAUAUAUUAGCAUGGAAUAAUGAUAUAGGACCUUGGUACUAUUUUGUUGGUUUGCGCACUGAGGUAAUGAUUAAGAGGGACAGUUGGGGGUAUUUGUAUUCCAUUGUCAGAGGUGAAAUUCUUGGAUUUUUGGAAGACAAACUACUGCGAAAGCAUUUACCAAGGAUGUUUUCAUUAAUCAAGAACGAAAGUUAGGGGAUCGAAGAUGAUUAGAUACCAUCGUAGUCUUAACCAUAAACUAUGCCGACAAGGGAUUGGUGGAGUUUCGUUUCCUCUCCAUCAGCACCUUGUGAGAAAUCAUAAGUCUUUGGGUUCCGGGGGGAG